rnacentral:rRNA from 1 species
AGCUCCAAUAGCGUAUAUUAAAGUUGUUGCAGUUAGAACGCUCGUAGUCGGAUUUCGGGGCGGGUCGACCGGUCUGCCGAUGGGUACGCACUGGCCGACGCGUCCUUCCUUCCGGAGACCGUCCCUACUCUUAACUGAGCGGGGGCGGGAGACGGAACGUUUACUUUGAAAAAAUCAGAGUGUUUCAAGCAGGCAUCUCGCUCUUGCAUGGAUUAGCAUGGGAUAAUGAAAUAGGACUUUGGUGCUAUUUUGUUGGUUUCGAACACCGAAGUAAUGAUGAGAAGGGACAGUCAGGGGCACUCGUAUUCCGCCGAGAGAGGUGAAAUUCUCAGACCAGCGGAAGACGAACCACUGCGAAAGCAUUUGCCAGGGAUGUUUUCACUG